rnacentral:lncRNA from 1 species
GAAGCUUGCCUUCUGUUCAGAGGUUACCUCGGGUUGCUCCCUCUGAACUAUACUGCAAGCUCUCGAGGCACCAUAGCCUCACAAAAAUCCAGAAAAGCGGGUUCCAGUAGACAGCCAGUCGCGGUGUUAUUUGGAACUUCCCAGUCUUGGGCCUUUUAAGGAUUAAACCUUUGCCGGAAUGUAGAAAAUGCCCUUUCUGUGGCCAUAACACCCCAAAAUCCUCCUGCCAACGUGCCCAGAAUUGGCCAAAUUGACUGGAAGAUUCUGGGAGUUGGAAUUUUUGAAAGUUAUUUUUCCGAGCUUUGACCAGAGAACUUGGGGAGCGAGAGGGAGACUCCGGGUUAGAGUCUCUCUCCCCAUGGCUGCAUCUGCUGUGCAAACUUCCAGGCCCUGUAAAUCCUGCAAGGUUUCUUCAAGCAGAGAGUCAAUAAUCACUUUGGGAUUAUCUAUGGUGAGGAUGGGUUUAGAUGGAUUAAUGGAAGCUUCCCAACCUCCCCCUAUGUUAACGUGAUUCCUGCUCUGUGCAGGAUCUUGGCUGCGAGAAGCCAAGAUCAUUUUCUCUGUGUUGGGAAUGGAUCUGGGCCAGCGCCAGGCCCUCGGGCGCCCCCUCCAGCGUGGCCGAGCCCAUGGGGGCAGGUGAAGAAGCUUGAUCCCCAAACGCUUGGGUUUUGGAAGAGUCGGAGCAGGGGGAAUGGAGGGCUGGCCCCUAAUGCCUUCUGUGGGGCUGGGAGUCCUCUUCCUCCUCCUCUCGGUGUCUGAGUUCCUCUCGUGUGAAGAAUCGGAAGUUACCCUGGACACCUACUGGUCCGGAACAGCUCCCAUCUGCUUAGGUGGCUGUAAAGGAAAACAUAAAGAACUGAAGCGAAGCCAGUGCGGGAACGGAAGUUGUUGCUGGCUCGGGUACAAAUCCUUCUGCCGAGGUACGAGCUGCUUGACGGCCCAUGUGGCCAGCCGAGGGUCUCUCUUAGUUCUGAGUUCAAAUUCCGCAUCAACCAGCUGAGCAGGGCAAAUGCCCUCAGCAUGACUUUCUUGCCCCAGUGAAAUCGGGACCAGGGUGGCAGGCAUGGGCUUUGACAAGGGCAGGCGUCAUUGAGGCCGUGAAGCAUGUAGCGGAUCACACAGAGCGGUCACCUGGAGAAAAGGAGGCCAUGGGAAUUACAGAAGGAUUAACCUUUUCGAAAGGGCUGAUCACAAUUGUAGAGGACGAGGCACUGCAAACCGGGGAUGGGGUGUGGAGUCGUGGGACUCCCUGUCUAGUCAGACUGAAGUCCCACCAGUGACUUGACUUGGACCCAAUUCGAGUCUCCCCCCCCCCCGAAUGAAUUGGACUCGAGUAAGGACUCACCCACUCCUCCCUUUUUUUCCUGGGGGAAAGCUUGUUUUUCAUAGGGACUCAGACUCGGGACUUGGGACUUGGUACGAAAGUCUCAGACUUGGGACUUGGGCCCAAAGACUCACCAACAUCUCUGCUAUGAGCAGACAUUAGGUAUAAGACUCAAACUAGCCAUUGUGGUGCAUUUGAAGUAAUGGAAAGGUAAGUUUUAAAACUACAUCUCCCAGGCUUCUAAGUUGGUAAUGUUGACCUUGCCUUCCAGGCUCUUCCGGCUGGGCCCCCGGGCGCUAGAUGCCCCUGGCAAUCAAGGGGUCCUUGGCCAGAACCGGGUCUCCCUACGUUGUCCCUACCUGAUGGUUCAGUUAUCUUAGAAA